ACAAAGCACUGACUAAGACCACUACUACCCCCAUGGAGCUCGGAUUUAUCAGAGGUCCAUUAACCCCUCAAGAAAAGUUGAGACGUAGAGCUAACGAUCUCUGCAUGUACUGCGGGGGGUUGGACCACUCCGUCAGAGAUUGUAACCAACUUCUGCGCAGGAAUGUGGGAACACCACCGAAUAGAAUCACAAGCAAUCCUUGACUCUGGGGCUACUCACAAUUACAUUGACCAACACUUUGUGCUAACAAAUAAAAUACCACUUGUUAAAAAGUUAAA